AUCUGGCGGUCUUUGGCCGUCCGAGUUGUAGUCUGGAGAAGUGCUUUCCGCGCUGGACCGUGUAUAAGUCUCUUGGRAACAGAGCGUCAUAGAGGGUGAGAAUCCCGUCUUUGACACGGACUACCAGUGCUUUGUGAUGCGCUCUCAAAGAGUCGAGUUGUUUGGGAAUGCAGCUCAAAAUGGGUGGUGAAUUCCAUCUAAAGCUAAAUAUUGGCGAGAGACCGAUAGCGAACAAGUACCCGUGAGGGAAAGAUGAAAAGCACUUUGGAAAGAGAGUUAAACAGUACGUGAAAAUUGCUGNAAAGGGAAACGCUUGAAGUCAGUCGCGUUAGCCGGAACUCAGCCUUGCUUUCGCUUGGUGCACUUUCCGGUUGACGGGCCAGCAUCGAUUUUGACCGUCGGAUAAGGGCUAGAGUAAUGUGGCACCUCCGGGUGUGUUAUAGACUCUGGUCGCACACGGCGGUUGGGAUCGAGGAACGCAGCGCGCCGUAAGGCAGGGGUUCGCCCACUUUCGCGCUUAGGAUGCUGGCAUAAUGGCUUUAAACGACCCGUCUUGAAACACGGACCAAGGAGUCUAACAUACCUGCGAGUGUUUGGGUGGAAAACCCGAGCGCGUAAUGAAAGUGAAAGUUGAGACCUCUGUCGUGGAGGGCAUCGACGCCCGGACCUGACGUUCUCUGACGGAUCCGCGGUAGAGCAUGUAUGUUGGGACCCGAAAGAUGGUGAACUAUGCCUGAAUAGGGUGAAGCCAGAGGAAACUCUGGUGGAGGCUCGUAGCGAUUCUGACGUGCAAAUCGAUCGUCAAA
rnacentral:rRNA from 1 species